UACGUAGGGGGCUAGCGUUGUCCGGAAUCAUUGGGCGUAAAGAGCGCGUAGGCGGCCAGAUAAGUCCGCUGUGAAAGUCGGGGGCUCAACCCUCGAAUGCCGGUGGAUACUGUCGGGCUAGAGUGCGGAAGAGGCGAGUGGAAUUCCUGGUGUAGCGGUGAAAUGCGCAGAUAUCAGGAGGAACACCAAUUGCGAAGGCAGCUCGCUGGGACGUAACUGACGCUGAGACGCGAAAGCGUGGGGAGCAAACAGG
rnacentral:rRNA from 1 species